UAAAAUAAUUUGGCUCUUUCAUAUGAGGAGUACUAACUCUCCAACUCAGAUCAUCAUCUCUUUUGCUUAAUUAUGAAUUCAAUUGCCGAUAUGAGAAUUAUGGAGAGGGAACUCUAACGGGUCGGCAGAUUGCCGUAACAUCCAUUUGCCGCCGGAAUUAUUGUUGGAGAUCUUGACAUGGCUACCUUCAAAAACCCUUUUAAAACUCAGAGAUGCAUACUAGUAGCGCCCGCUGCCUGAAGUUGCUAAAUGCCCAGUUUAUUUUCUGUUGCUACUGCCGCUCUACCAUGGUGUAAUAUACUGGUGUGUCUAAGCUCACAUGUGAAAUCUUGAAUGUAUGCAUAAAACUCAUAUGUAAGACUGUCAUAUUUUGGCUGAUGAAUGUAUGGCCUGUAUCAGUUCAGCCCAAGUACAUGCAAUUAUGCUAGCCUGUUAAUUAGUAAGUGCAAAAUGUAUGUCCUUAAUGUACUUGUGUAUUGUAAUUUAUAAGUACACUUCAAAUUAUAUUGGUCCAAUAUGUUUUUAGGUAUCAGACUAUCAGGUUCUGUUAUUCAGGGACUAUUCCCCUUAGCUUUUGUUCAACUUAUAUGUUUUUAAUGGCUUUUAUGGUUUAUAAUUAAGAGGAUUAUGACAUAUGAGCUCUUGUUAGAUUUGCAUCCAAUAAGUCAUUACCAAAUACAAAAUAUUCUGCAUAAGAUUAUGCCAUUGUGGGUUAGAAACCUAAGCUUAAUCGGAUUGAUAUUUCUCUCAAUGGAUUGCAUGAUUUCCAUUAUUUUUUUAUUUUUUUAUUUUUAUUUUUUUCUUUUUUUAAUUCUUUCUCUUGGAUCAUUUACAUUAAUAGUCCAACAAAAUUAAAACUCCUUUGGACAUUGGAUUACAUUAUUUUGUCGUCCAAGGAGUCAUUUGCUACCCCUGUAUUUAUUUUAUUGUGCAUUUUAUACAUUUUUAGUUGAUUUAAGGAGCAGCCUUGCAGCAUGGUUGUUCGGUUUGCAGAUGAAAACCUGCUGCAGUCAGCACGUAAUCAAGAUAUAGGGAAUUGGUUGUCAGAGAGUAACUGAAGGGUACCAUCAAGUAUGAUAUUAACUUGCAAACUUUGGCAUCAACUUAUUUUGAGGUCAUUAACCCGAAAGAAAGUGAACUGAUGUGGGAGCAUUAGACUUGGUUAAUGUGGUAAAAAUGUCAUAAAGAGUCAGUUUCAUGGAUGAUUCUAAAGCUUUUGUAAAAGGAUUCUUGGAUGGUCAACUCUCGGAUUGACUAUCCUAUGUCUUGAGUAAGGUCUGAUAGCUUGGAGAGUUGGGAGGUCUUUGGUCAAGUUUUAAAGCUGUCAAUGUGCGACCACUUGGAGGAGAAAGUUGUGUUUAAGAGUUUUUAAUGCAUAGCCUAUAACAUAACUUAUACAGAGUAAUAAGCUAGAAUUGUAGAUCACUAAAUUUACCUUAGCACAGCCAUAUCGUAAAUUACUGUCACCCGUGCACAUCAAGUCGUGCAAGAGGGUUUGUGUGUCUUUGUAUUCUAGAUUUAUUUAGGGGUUUUAGAAGCAGUAGUCACCCUAUAAGGUGAUUGACUGAUUGUUCUUUUCUAUUUAGGGGUUUUAAAAGCAGUAUGAUAAAUAUGAAAUAUAAAGGUUUUCUGAAAUUUUUGGCGAGCCUUGUAAUUUUUUUUUUGUUUAUUUAUAUACUCCGUAUCUAUUUUAUUAAAGAUAUAUCCAUUUAAUUUUUUUGGUAAGGAAGAAGAGUUUUAGGUAACCAUAUAUUAUGGGAAGCCUGAUAAAAAGUUGAUUAUAUUUUUUUGGCAAGCCUUGUAAAUUGUGUGGAAGCUUGUCAAUUUUUUUUUUUUUUUUUGGUUA